AGUGAACGCUGGCGGCAGGCCUAACACAUGCAAGUCGAACGGAAGCACAGUAAGAGCUUGCCCUUACGGGUGGCGAGUGGCGGACGGGUGAGGCAUACAUCGGAAUCUACUUUUUCGUGGGGGAUAACGUAGGGAAAGUUACGCUAAUACCGCAUACGACCUACGGGUGAAAGCAGGGGUUCUUGGCAGUUUGCGCGACUGAAUUAGCCGAUGUCGGAUUAGCUAGUUGGCGGGGUAAAGGCCCACCAAGGCGACGAUCCGUAGCUGGUCUGAGAGGAUGAUCAGCCACACUGGAACUGAGACACGGUCCAGACUCCUACGGGAGGCAGCAGUAGGGAAUAUUGCACAAUGGGCGCAAGCCUGAUCCAGCCAUACCGCGUGGGUGAAGAAGGCCUUCGGGUUGUAAAGCCCUUUUAUUGGGAAAGAAAAGCAGCAGGUGAAUACCCCGCUGUUCUGACGGUACCCAAAGAAUAAGCACCGGCUAACUUCGUG
rnacentral:rRNA from 1 species